UCUGUCGUAGUUUAGGUGGUUAGGAUACUCGGCUCUCACCUGAGAGACCUGGGUUCAAGUCCUGUCGAUGGAA
rnacentral:tRNA from 1 species